UUUCCGCCGCUUGAGACCUUGCUGCUGUCACCGGAAAAUUUUGCCGUUGAUCCACCAGAGCUUCUGGCCGCCGCCUGAGCUGUGCCGGGGCCGGUUCGAAACCGCAGCUGCUUCGUGUUAUUAUUCCGUGCUGUUUUAU